rnacentral:lncRNA from 1 species
CUGGGGAAUGUUUGUGAAGAACACUCUGCUUAAGCAGCUCUAAGCCAGGAGAGCUGAGUCUGCAGGGCGGGCAGUCAUCUCUCAGGAGGAAAGACAAUGCCCUGCUAGUGAGUGGAGAAGAGGAGCUGCAGUCAGGGAUGCUAACUGGACCCACAGAAAAGUGACUGCUGAACUUACAAAACAAGAAAGACAAUCCUGGAGGGUUCCUGCUUCAUGGAGAAGUCUUCCAGACACACUGUGGCCUAUAGGCUGAAGAAGGAUGCCCCAACGUUACAGAGGAACUUUGGGUGAUGGUCCAGCAAUAGAAAUCCUGACUAAGACAACAGGAAACAAGUGGGACAGACAGAUGGAGUCUCAGUGGAAGGAAGGAACAGGAGCUGAAGAGUCAUCCCCAGAGUGACCUAAGUUUAAACAAAUUAGAUUGUCAACAGCAAGCCACUUGACAUCACGAGCUGGUUACAGCAAGA